GAAAGGAGGGUCAGGGGUUGGGGCUGAGAUUCCUUCCCCUUCCAUUCACCUCCCAAUGCCAGGCUCAGGACCAAGAGAUCCAGCAUAAGGGGCCCUCCAGCCAAAAACACAACUUUAAUUUCUGACCAGAGCAUCUGUCCUGGAUUGUAGAUUCCAAGACAGUCCUGAUUUCACAGAUAAGGAAACUGGGAUACAGAGAAGGGAAGUAAUGUGUUCACUGGUACCAGCUAGAAAGAGGUGGAGGCCAGUGUAAGAACCAGUUGUGUGGUCUUGGACCAGCUAAGAAAAUUGUCGCUGGAUCCGAACAAUCUGAAUUCCUUAGUCUCAGUCCCAAAUGACAUUAGGGAAGUAUAUGUGUGAGGUAUGUAGGGGAUAAGGGACUGAGGCAGGGGAGGAACUUGUUUUUAUCUUAAUCAUAUCAGAAUCAAGAUUGAGCAGUUUCUCUGACAUUGCUUUUGAAGAGCAAUUUGAUAUUAAAGGACACAAUUACCCCCUGAGACCACUUUUGAUCUAGCUCUGGAGGCAGGAGCGAUGGUGAAGGGAUAGACCUGCCUCACAGAGCCUUGGCCUUGUAUUGGGCUCAAGACCCCUGGUCACUAAAUAUUACCUAGUACAAAAUAUCCCCCAUAAUGUAAAGUAUACAAGGCAAUCCCCCAGUUUUACAAAGAGAAGAUUUAUAGGAAAAUUUUAAAAAUCAAUUUGAAAAAGUUAACUUUUAAGGAUAUAAAUGGAAGUGUUAUUUAAAAUAUUUAAUUUAAUAAUGUAAAUAAAUAAUAUAUUGAUUUGGAGGUGUUACUUUUUUCCAGUCUCACACAAAUUCAGGAAACACUUAUAUCUGAAGCAAUUAUAUCUGAAUUUUUCCUGUCCAUUCUUCAAAUUCAGCAUCUCCCUUAUCACCAGUGUCUUUUUGAGGCAGGUGAUUCAGCUCUCCAGAACAGUUCAUCUUCUUUCUGUGUCUUUGAGAGGCAGCCCUGUUUCUACCUGAGUAGCUGACAACAGCUAGAAAUUGUAACUCAACAAGAAAUUCCUAUUAGCAUAACAUUAGGGUAACUUUAAAAAACAUGUAGGAUUUCCACAACUUAAUAACUUGCUGUUUUGCUCUGUAACAAUGUCCCUUAAAGGUUUGUUUAUGGUGAUAUUCAAUGCAUAUAAUAGUGAGGUCAUAUCCCCAGAAUAAUAAUACAUGUGCAUUUAAUUUACUUGCUUUUUUUUUUCUUUCUUUAAACCAGUUCUAUCAAGUGACCUCUAAAAGAGAGCCAGCAGUAAAUGUCACUGUUUCAGGCUAAUAUGCCUUCUUCAGAUGAUAUUUUAUUGUAAAAAUAAAGUAAUUGAGUACAAGAGUGGGAGAAGAAGACAAGGUUGUAGAUGAGGUAGGAAUGACCAGAGGCUGGUGUUUGUGUGGCUGGGAAAACAGAAAUAUGGGAGUUCAUUAAACAAUUAUGUCAAUGUUGUGUGUGUUAAAAAUUCUUGGUAAAGAAAAAGUUUAAAUUAAUUAGUUCAUAGACUGUCCAGUAGCAUGAGAGAUUUUUUAAGGCUUGAACACAAGGCAAACCCUUUUUAUGAGGAAUAAUUUUGGGGGGAGAUGCCUCAUAUUUAGGCAUACAUAAUAUAUGCCUUCUCUGACCUUUUUUGCUAUCAGUUACCAAUCUCUAGAGCUACUUCUCAAAAACUCAUUGAUGUGCUAGACUCUGAGUUCCUCAAGGGCAAGACGUUUAUCUUAAUAUCCCCAGAAUAUAGCACAGGGCCUGGCCCAGAGUUAGUCCUCUGUAAACAUUUGUUGAAUGAAUGAAUGAAUGUGUAAGUGAAUCAAUGCGUGCAUGCGUAUGUGAAUGAAGAUCAAUAAACUGUCCAUAAUUAUACAAUAGUAAGUUGCAGAGUCAUGACUGGCUUCAGAUCCUUUCAUUCCUACUCCAGUUCUCAUUCCCAUCACUACAGGAGUGCAUAUUCCCUAUCAUGUCCCAGCCAGUUCCAUAGCCACUACUUGGCUUCUGAUCAGCUUUCAUAUGCAGACAUAGUAGAGCAGUGUUGUCCAAUACUUUAGCCACUUGAUACGCUGUAAAUGCAAAAUGCAUACUGCUUUCAAACAUAGUACAAACAAAAAAAUUAAAAAUAUUCCUUAAUAAUUUGUACAUGUUGAAAUUAUAAUUUUUUGGACAUACUGGGUAAAUUACAAUGUCUUAAAAUUAAUUUCACCUGUUUCUUUAUACCUUUUAAGAAUAUGGUUACCAGAAAGUGUAAAUUUACAUAUGUGGCUUGAAUUAUAUUUCUUAUGGACAGCUCUGGUAGGGAGGAUUCAAAUUUGUCUGUAAGCUUGGAGAACGCUGACCAGAAAACAAGCUAAGGUAGACUCUGCCUCUCUGAACCCUACGUAUGGCAACUCCAGGGUGGUGUGGACAGACAAGGCUUGUGAUGAUAACAUACAGAAGUGUGCUCCUCUCCAGGAUCUUUCUACCCACCACUAUGGAAACUUACACUGCUCAAGCCCCCAUCCCACCCAUGAGUUCUAAGGAAAAUAUCAAAGGGCUAAAAGGGAUGUGCCAGCAACUGCUCAAAUCCUUUCUAUCACACUCCAUUGAACAGGGCAUCUUCCUUCUACCUGGGAAGGACAAGACACCCUUCACGGAAAGCUUCUCUACAGUUUCCUGUUCCUACUCCAACAUCAGAGUUGAUUAGUGGAGAACAGAGGCUUGGACGGCUGGAUUUCCAGAUCAAGAACCCCAGUUUUCUUCUCAUAACAACCUGUGCGGCACAUCUUUCUUCCUGCCCGUGUCAAAACAACAGUCCACACUUUGAUGUAGGUCCUGUCUUUCCUUUGGGAACCGUUGAAUUCAGAAUCCACAAAGCUAAGUAACUUUCCAUUUUGUUUCUUAGAUGCUUGGUGCUGUUCUAUAUUUUUACCAAUAGGUUUCUUGAAAGCUGCAGGAAUAGAAUUUUUGACAGGUGGAUUUAGGUGUUUUACAGAUAGCUGCUCUUUGCUCUCGUUAAUCAUACUUUCUUGUGGUACAAGUUAUUCUGGUUGCUGGUUUAAUUCUUUCAAAUCUUCAGCAAAAGCUAGAGUAUGCUAACAAUUAUUUUUUAAUGUUAUGCAAACUACAUUCAUUACAAAACCUUUAAUGCCAAUUUCUUUUUAAAAAAGAAUUAUAACUUAAAUUAGGAGGAUGAAUGAAUGUGACAUACUUCAACUUGCAUGUCAUCUCAUGUAGUCUGUAUUAGCCCUUUUACUGCCUCUUCCUAUUAUAUCAUUCUGUUUAAUUUUCACUACAGUUCUUAUCAUUCACUACCUGAUGUUUGUGUUUAUUUAUAUACUGUCUUCUCCUCUAUCCCCAGAAGUGUAGAUUCACAGUAAAUGUUGUUCGGUGAAUGAACAUGAAUCUCUCAUUUUCUUUGUUCUGUUCAGUCCAUGCUAAAAAGAAAUGGUCAAAUGAAGUCAUAAGAGAUGCAAAAAGAAGCAGGGGUACAUGGAAAAUCUAUCCACUGAAAACCCUAAUCCUGAAUAACUGAGCAACAGGAGACCAUCAUUAAAUCAUACCCAUUGGCCCAAAGAGAUUAUGGACCUCCCAGAAAAUCAAAUUAAGCCAAAGCCUGUGAUUUUCCCUUUAGCAGAUUUUCUUAAAGAUGCAAGGCGCUGUGUAUUCGCUAUUCGGGUGGCCAGUUCACACCACGAUUGCCAGACCCCACCAUGGAAGGCUGCAUUUGCUCAGGAGGGCACAGACCUCCAGCCGCCGCCAGCUCACGCCCGGCGCACUUCCCUUUCCCCACCGGUCAACUGCCCCUCCCCCCGGACCCAGUCCGCCUGCCGACCGCCCCGCGGUUCCCGGAGAGCAUCCCCGCGGUUUCCAGGGCAACGAUUCCCGACCAAUCAGAGAGCCAAAUGCGGGCCUACGAUUGGUUGGAGGCGCCAGGGGCGGGUCCGGACCUUCUGCCUUCGAUUUAAAAAUUUGGCGCGGAAAGCCAGACCGUGGCUGGCACCGCCCCGUAGCUGCGCGGGGCUUGAGCGCGGGUAAACCCGCGCCGGGAACCACGGCAUCUCCGCCCCUCCCCCUCGCCCGCCCCCUCCUCUCUGCGCGGGAGCUCAGCUCCUCCCUCUACGGCCCCUGGCCGAGCGAGAAGUGGGAAACGGCCCCCGCUGCCGCUGCCCUCCCGAACCCUUUCCCGGUACCAGGCCGGCCGGGCGCCCGGUCCCUCUGCGUCUCGCUGACCUGUCAGUUCCCCUCACGGUUGGAGCCGACGAGGGCUGAGCCCGGACUCCUCGGCACCUCUUCCUCUCUCAGGCUCUGGAGCCCGCGUGUCGGGCCAUCAGCCUGUCCUUAAGCUGCGCCGAGGGACAUGGACUUCAUAUGGACAAGUUGUCUGCUUUUCUGAGUCUUUCAAACUGCUGCUUCGUAGUCACUGGGGCAGCCCUGGUUUCUCCUGGAAUGAUCAUUGAAGGCAGCUUAAAUGGGUUAGUUAAAGCUCGGCUGGCUCUCAGUUGUUCCAUCUUGGAGCUGGGAGCCGGGAAGACAGAACAGCCCUCUGCUCAGCCAAAUCGGGCUGGGGGACAUCUCCCCGGAGAUAGCAGUCACCAAGCACUGUAACACCCCACUCCUUCCUCUAACAGGUUUCUUCUAACUCCUUGGCACUUGUGAAUUCCCCUGACAGUCAUGGUUUUCAGGAUGUGAUUUGACCUAACAUACCCUACAAUAUCCAGGCAUAUUAUAUAGAAUUUUGUCAUAUAGUACAGAGAUAGAAUAGGAUGUACAGAAUUAAUUUUGUUGACAAAAUACUUAGGAUCUUCCAACAGAAGUAGAUAGCUCCCCUCAGCUGUCAUUGCAAAUGCUCAAUAAAAGCUCACAAUGUUUUUGUAUGGAAAUUGUUUGAAAUAAUUGCAUUUGAAUCUGCCUGUGAAAUGGAUAGUUCUACAUGUGCUUUUUAAGUAGUGUUAAGCUUUCUUAUAAAUUCCAUUUUGAAAAAAGAAUCUGGAGUUGUUUUAAUGUCAUUUCAUAAUGACAUUACUUUAUAGAAAAGGGAAAGAUAUUUGUUGACUGAAAUUUUAGAUGCUGGUUAUCUUGAUGUCAUUGUGAUAAUAAUGUCCUAUCUCUGUCAUGUCUGAUGGCUGCUUCUUGGAAAAACUCAGGGUGUGAAGAAUGGAGAGGCAUCUUGUAAUCAGUUAUCUUCCUUAAGAGAGGACAGGGUGUGGAGAAAAGUUAGGACUUUGGUGUGAAAUAGACCUGGCUGCAAAGUGUGACCUUAGGCAAAUUACCAAAACUUUCCGAGCCUCACUUUCUCAUUCUCAUGAAAAUAGGGACCAAAAUACCCAUCCUGUAAUGUUGUUGUGAGGGUGUAAAGAGCUUAGUGCAAGUUUAGCUUAUUACAGUAAGUACUCAGUAGUAACUAUUACGACAAAAUAUGUCAUUAUGAUCCAGACAAAUCAACAGUCAUUUUAAAAUUUUUUUCUGGUUUUAAUCACCCUAAGGAAAGAGAUUCCCAGUAGCCAGAUUGUUUGGCCAGAAAAUUGUUCCUGUUGACUGAGUCUGCACCCUCCAUCCCCUUCUCCUAUGUGCCACCGUGCCGAGUUUAAGGUGCAGCUGAGUUCAGUGCUCAGCCAUGGGGAAAGAUGUCCAGUGUCUUUGGAAACCUUGCCACCAGAGGCCUGCUUUAUCUCUUCAGGACCUGAUUUAUAGAAAUGCUCGAGACAGAUACAGUGAAGAAGUAAAAUACUCAAAGAUAGCAUGCUCUUAUCUCCUAGUAGAAUUAGUAAGUGCAUCAUAAUUUAAGGUUUCCUGUCUAGUUUAUUGGCUCUAUUAGUACACAUUGCCUUUCCUACUCUUUGCUUUUCUGUCUCUGCUCCCAGUAAACAAAUGUCUUAAUUGCUCUAAGUACAGACCUGGGCAUAGAAUCCGAUUUGGUUAAUACUUGACAACUGGAAUAGAAUCCAAGGAUUCUGGCUCUAGCCCUGGCUGUGGCAUCUGCUAGCUCUGUGACUGAGGGUAAGCUACUUACCUCUCUGAGUCUUAGUUUCUUCCUCUGUGAAAGGGGCUGGUACUUGGUAAUAUCUGUGACAUAAAGACUUCUUGAUGGUGUUGACCAA